rnacentral:ncRNA from 2 species
UUGAGCUGCGGGGGGUGCCUGCGGAGUGUCGUCCCAUGCUAACGCAGCAUGACUAUGGCGAUCACUCCAGGGCUGAGAUCAUACCCUUUACACCUGAUCCGGUUCGUACCGGCGGAGGGACAGCGGCUUUAAGAGAAG